UCCCCAGUGGUCCAGUGGUUAAGACUCCAGCACUUCCAAUGCAGGGGGCCCAGGUUUGAACCCUGGUUGGGGAA